UACGGAGGGUGCAAGCGUUAAUCGGAAUUACUGGGCGUAAAGCGCACGUAGGUGGUUUGUUAAGCCAGCUGUGAAAUCCCCGGGCUCAACCUGGGCACUGCAGUUGGAACUGGCAAGCUAGAGUAGGGUAGAGGGGUGUGGAAUUCCAGGUGUAGCGGUGAAAUGCGUAGAUAUCUGGAGGAACAUCAGUGGCGAAGGCGACACCCUGGACUCAUAUUGACACUGAGGUGCGAAAGCGUGGGGAGCAAACAGG
rnacentral:rRNA from 1 species